CCGAGUUUACAACUCCCAAACCCCUGUGAACAUACCACUUGUUGCCUCGGCGGAUCAGCCCGCUCCCGGUAAAAACGGGACGGCCCGCCAGAGGACCCCUAAACUCUGUUUCUAUAUGUAACUUCUGAGUAAGACCAUAAAUAAAUCA
rnacentral:misc_RNA from 1 species